rnacentral:lncRNA from 10 species
UUUAAAAGCUCCAGAGUGGAAACCUUUCCCACCAGGAGUUUGCCUUGACAGACAAAAGCCAAUUUACAACCAAAAGUAUGCCUGCUACAAAACUCUCUCUCAUCUGAAGAGCACCUCGAGACAAGGCCACUUUACAACCUAGUUCUGCCUGCGAUGGCACCAACUUGACCACUUCUGGUAAGGCAGCCCUGUAGAUAAGGCACAUAUAGAUAAGGCACUGGAAGUUACGCAGACCCCCACCUGCUUGUUUCCUCCCCUGCAUACCACGCGUGCAAAAUCCCCUUCUAAAAACCCCUGCUUUCUCUUCCAAAAGAGAAGCCGUACCCUUAAGGCAGGAAGCCUGUGCUUCUUCCCCUGAGCUAGCUUUGGAACAAAGUCACUUUCUUUGUAGCAGAUCUCGGGAGCAACUGAACUUGCAACCCAGCUACACUCUCCCUCCCGCCCACGCCAAGGCAGGGGAAUGAGCAAAUAGGAACCUUCAGGGUAACUUCAGAGGAGGCGACUGCCCUGAGCAGGAGUUUCCACAGGAUCCUGGGUAUCUCUUGCCAAUGCCAGUGCAGAGGGGGAGUGAGGUUCUAACCAUGGGAAGGAGUCCGGGGUGGGCUGUCAGCACUGGCUGUCGGUGACAAGCCUAACAAAGAGGUGCCUAUGUUGACAUCCUUGUCUUCCACUGUUUGUUUUGGUGUCUUUUUAUUAGUCUAAUAACCAUUAGGUAGCUCAUUGUCCUAACCAAACACACAGAAAGCUGAAAGAAAACACCACCAACUUUGGGAAACUAUUGGAAACUGUGCUCAGAGGGAGUCCCAGCCCCCUCCCAAACUGCGCCCAAGAGCAGAGCAAGAUGCAAAGCCAGGGGAAGUAAGGAGGGAAGCAGGCUGGGAGGGAGGGGCUCCAGCCCCAGGGUUGGGGUGGAGGAGACGAGGCCCCCUUUGCCCAUAAGACUCUAGGCUCCUUCCAAGGAGGGCAAGAAGCCUUUUUUUUUUUUUUUUUUUUUUUUUAAACCCAGGGCCCAGGAAAGUUAUGCAAAGCAAUUACUCAACUUAGGCAGCCCAGGGAGGGACCACCAUCUUCCAACUGCUCCACCUCCCACUACGUUUGUCUUUGCCUCCUUUCCCUUCCCAUCAGGGUUCAUGACCAAGGAGACGCAAUUCUGUGAGCCUAAGUCUCUGCUGGUCUGGUCCUCUUGGCUCUCUUGAGAGACCCAAGUACAGGUGACUUCCCUGACUCUGGCUGGGCUCCGUAAGCUGUCUUGAGGCUACGCAGCGUCUAAGGCGUUAUCCUUAACCUCCAGCUCCCUCCGGCUUUGCUUUUCUCUCUCUUCUUGACUCUUCUGAAGUUUUUCCUUGUUCCUGUCUCUCUUCCUCCUGUCUGCUGCAGCCUCACACACCAGACAGUUCUCAAGAUGUCCUUCGGGGGAGCCUCCAGGAAGACGAAGAAGAGGCACUAGGUGCAUGCCUACACAGAGGAAAGCCAUGUGAGGACACAGCGAUAAGAUUGCUGACUGCAAGCUCAGGAGAACUUAGAAGAAACCAACCCUACCAGCACCUUGAUCUUGGACUUCCAGCCUCCAGAACUGUGAGAAAGUAAAUUUCUGUUGUUUAAAUCACCCAGUCUAUGGUAGUUUGUUAUGAUGACCCAAGCAGAAUAAUGCAUACCAUGAUUCUCUUCCAUUCUCUCAACUCAGGACAUCCUUUCCCAGUGUUGGGGUGGUGGAGGGGAAUGACAUAGAUGUUCGUGGAUGGAGAGAAGGCCUUCCUGUUGUUAAGACUUUUUUCUUAGCUCCAUCAUCCAUGUGACAUGCCCUUGCAUUCUUUUUAGUGUCUGGGCCAGUCUGCCAUGGCUUUUCAGAAAGCAGGGCCCAAGCACACCUUUGGAUUCAACCUGAGUGGGUUCUAACCAAGAAUACCAGUGAACACACCCCAUGGAAGGGGCCUCAUCAGUAGAGGUUGUAUUCCGAAUACUUGUGAACAUUUUUUGGUCUGAGAUGAACACAGCAUUCCCUCUUUGGAGCACUGUGGGCAUUAUAUUUGCAAAAGGGAAUAAUGUUAGGCUCCUUCAGAAAAACAAAGUGGUGCACCAGCAUCUCAGCUGUGGAAAGAGCUCAGACCUUGGUAACGUUUCAAAGUACCAUGGAUGUGAGGGACAGUCAGUGACCACAGAAGGAACUUGGCCAAGGAAAAAGAGACACGUAGUGUCAGGCAAAGCUCAGAAAAUUUCAGAGAAUUAGACUGGGAGGCAGACCAUCUCAGCCUGGAGCUAGCUUACUUUUGUACUUCUUGCAUGAGACAGUCCACAUUCUUACUGUUUAAGCUGCUCAAAAGGGUGUUUCUGUAACUACUUGCAGUGGAAAGAAAUGUGUCCAGAAUCUCUCAAAACCCUGAAUACCACAGUGCAUUGGCAGGGCAGGCUUUAUAUGGCCACAAACAACAAUAACACUGGAAUAUUCUAUUCACUCAUUCCCUCAGGUCAUGGUUUCCUACUUGAAAGCACCAUGGAUAAGUCCCUUUCUGCUGUUUCUCCCCAAAACAAGGAUAUGCAUCAUGAUUUCUUGAAGAUUCCACCAUUAGUCAUAGACGGGCCUGAAAAAUUGUACAAAUUAGAAGGUAGUAAGGCACCUUCACUGGACCUCUGCUAUAUCUCUAAGUAUAUAUUGGGAUGGGGAAGGGUGAGUGAAUAAUUACAAUAAUAAUUAAUAAGAACAAGUUCUUUUCAGUCCGAGUUGCAUUUAAGAAAAGCUAUGAAUUCUUCCCUGAUCAGUCCAGAAAUGCAUCUCUGGAGCUAUGGCUAUUGAGUGAUCUUUGUUGUAACAUAGUUUUCCUUAAGUCAGAUUCACUGGGAAGAGGACUGCCUUUAAGUCCAAUCCAAGGGAUAAACAGUUCAUCAAAUAUAACAGUUUAUUUGUCUACAUGCUUCCUUCCCUUCUAGUCAGUUUAGCUUCUCCAGGGCAAGAGAUUCAGCCCCUGCCUCCCUGUCUCUAGCACAUGAAUUCAUUCAAGAAAUGUUUCCCCACUACCAGGCUCCAGGAUGCUUCUGUUGCAUGGGAAAUCAGAGACACAUAGUGCCUGCUCUUCCCAAGCAUUCAGACUAGUGAGAAAGGUAAGCAUUAAAUAGGUCAUUACUCCAGUAAUUACUCAAUAGUGACUAGAACGAAGAGGUACGGGAGCUAUAAGACUAUACCAUGGGAGGACCUGACCUAGUUCAUAGAGUAUCAUGGAGGCGUCCCAGAGCAGGGACCAUUUCAAUAGAGACCUACAAGCUAAGGUCUUGGCAUUUGGUAUCCUGUUAGCAGGGGGAGGCUCUGAGCCUGGGUAAGACUGACUUAGAAAGGUACUUGGCAGGAGGUCAGAAAACCAGGCAAAAGAGGCUCAGAUGAAACUGGAGUCAUAAGCAGGGGCCAGAGCUUGGUGCACCUUGUAGACUAUGAUCAGCCAUAAUAGAGUCUUUGUACAUGUUAGCUUCCAUGCAUGAAUGAAUGAAAUAUCAGAAAGGUGUCGUUCCUUAGGUACCCUUGGGUAGCCUUAUGUGGGUUUCAGGGUAGCAACACAGUGGUGAAAAUGUUCAAGCAAGGGUGAAGAAAGAAGUAUUUCUACGUAAGCCAAGGAGGAGAUAAGAAUGGACAUGGGCAGAUUGUACACUUCUUGAUGGAGCAGAGACACCCCAGGGUGGAGAUAGCCUGAGUUAGAUAUCAGUCUUUGGUGCCUAUGGAAGUGAUAAUGAGGUAGGAUCAGGCCUACAAUUCACCCGCCUCCUUCUCCUCCAAGAUCCAAUUCCCCUCCUCACUUUCUUAAGAUACCAACAUGAUCUCCUGAGGGCAGGGUCUAGGGACUUUGCCCUCAGGAGAUCAUGCUGCCCACUUUAGAGUGCCUUGAACAGUCUCAGAGACAGACCUCCCUCUGUGCACCAGCCAGGAGGUGCUAUAUAUACUUAAC